rnacentral:rRNA from 1 species
AUUGAACGCUGGCUGCAGGCCUAACACAUGCAAGUCGAACGAGUGGCGGACGGGUGAUUAAUGUCUGGGAAACUGCCUGAUGGCGGGUGAUAACUACUGGAAACGGUAGCUAAUACCGCAUACCAUCAGAUGUGCCCAUAUGGGAUUCGCUUGUUGGUUGGGUAACGGCUCACCAAGGCGACGAUCCCUAGCUGGUCUGAGAGGAUGACCAGCCAAACUGGAACUGAAACACGGUCGAGACUCGUACGGGAGGCAGCAGUGGGGAAUAUUGCACAAGGGGCGCAAGACUGAUGCAGCCAUGCCGCGUGUAUGAAGAAGGCCUUGGGGUUGUAAAGUACGUUCAGCGGGGAGGCGUUACCCGCAGAAUAAGCACAGGCUAACUCCGUGCCAGCAGCCGCGGGAAUUC